AUUUUGUCAGAUUUUACUGGAAUUCUGUGGUAUUUUUUUAUUAAUGGAGAAGACAAUGAAUAUUUUGACAAAUCUUUCAAACAACAAAACUUGGGGCAGCACGACAGAAAAGAGGAAAAGAAAAUCUUCCCCAGUUAGAACAGAGCCAGAGUCCCACCAUUUUCCCCUCCACUUUUAUUUCUUUUCUACAUUUAGAGGCAAACCUUCCAUCUCCAAGAGCUUCCAUCUCUCACUUCCUGAUGCCGUUUGCCACCCUUUAGCCUCGACCCCCACGGAUCUGAGUGCUGUCCAUGUGGGGCUGGGGAUGCUCAGCCUGGAAAGAGAAGGGGCUGGGGAGGCCUCCCUGCAGCUCUAGGAAAGAUGGGCACAGAGAGGAGAAGGCUUUCAACUGCAGGAGUGAGAUUGAAGUUGGAUCUAAUGCAGCUGCUCUUUUCCACUCAGGCUGCUGGGCCACUGGCCCAGGCUGGGCACAGAGGCUGGGGAUGCUCCAUCCUUGGCAACAUCCAAGGCCAGCUGGGAGCGUGGCUCUGAGCAACCUAUUCUGGGGGAAGAUUGCUCAGCUUGGAACAAGAUGGUCUUUAGGGUCCCUUCCAAGCCCAAGCACCCAGGGAUUCCAUCAUUCUAGCAUCUCCCUUGUCCACUUCAGCCUGGGCCUGGGCUCCUGGCACUGAUGUCACAGUGCACGCUCCAGCUAGAACUUCCAGCAUCCAGCAACGGCCACAACACAACCCUUGGCUCCUUGUGUCAGCACGCUCUUCACCCUGCUCCAGGCCUACCCCUGUCACCUUGUUGUCACCUGCUCCCUCAUACCCCCAGCAGUCCCAAAAGCUCCCCGUUGUGUGCAUUUUGCUCUCCAUCCCUGCAGGAUGUCUGCAUUUGCUCCAAAGAAGGCUGGCACAGACACAGAGGAGGAGAUGGAGGUGGAUACACAGAUGGAUACAGACAAGAAAAUGGAAGUGGAUGGAGAGAAGACGGGAGAGGAAGAGAUGGAUGUGGAUGUGAUCAGACGGAAGUAGAAAUGGAGGUGGACAUGGAAGACAAUAUUGAGGAGAUGGAUAUUGAUGUAGAAGACGAGGAGGAGGACAUGGUGUUGGGAUGAAGAGCGAUGCCAGCAGCAGAACAGGCAGGUGCUCCCCACAGGCAGAGUGGGUCCCCUGCUGCCAGCCUGGGGCUGGGCUGGGCACUCCCUGCUCAGGGACACGCUAGCCCAUGCACUGGAUUCUGCUGGCCAUCCCUGGCCUGGCCUGGGCUUGCUUUGGGCCACACAAGCCCUGUUCCAGUGCCUGGGCCACAGCCCCCAGCCCCAGCCAGCCUCACUUCUGGCAGCAGAGUCCCACUGUGCCAGUGUCCCAGCCUGGCAGCACAUGGAACACCCCUCCAUGCCUGACUGCACUGACCGUGCUACUUGUUUUUCUUCCAGGACUGAGGCACAUCCCGGACACAGAUGCCACCCUGCUGUAUAUACGUUUUACAGUUGUUGUGUUCUGAUAGACAUUUUGGAGUUUGCUUAAGUGUUCUGUAAAUACGUUUCAUGUAGUUUUGUUAGAUAUGUUCUUAGGUAAAUAGGUUCUAUAGUUUGUUGUUGUUGUUACCAAUAUUCUUACAAUGUAAAUAUGUUGUUCAUUCUUUUUCCUUUUCUUCUACAA
ensembl:lncRNA